CCUACGGGAGGCAGCAGUGGGGGAUAUUGCACAAUGGGGGAAACCCUGAUGCAGCGACGCCGCGUGAGUGAAGAAGUAUUUCGGUAUGUAAAGCUCUAUCAGCAGGGAAGAAAAUGACAGUACCUGACCAAGAAGCCCCGGCUAACUACGUGCCAGCAGCCGCGGGAAUACGUAGGGGGCAAGCGUUAUCCGGAUUUCAUGGGUGUAAAGGGAGCGUAGACGGCUAUGUAAGUCUGGAGUGAAAGCCCGGGGCCCAACCCCGGGACUGCUUUGGAAACUGUGUAACUGGAGGACGGGAGGGGCAGGCGGAAUUCCUGGUGGAGCGGUGAAAUGCGUAGAUAUCAGGAGGAACACCGGCGGCGAAGGCGGCCUGCUGGACUGAGACUGACGUUGAGGCUCGAAAGCGUGGGGAGCGAACAGGAUUAGAUACCCGGGUAGUC
rnacentral:rRNA from 1 species